rnacentral:rRNA from 1 species
AUACGGGGGGUGCAAGCGUUAUUCGGAUUUAUUGGGCGUAAAGGGCGCGUAGGCGGCUUGGAAAGUCAGAUGUGAAAGCCCGGGGCUCAACCCCGGAAGUGCAUUUGAAACUAUCAGGCUUGAGUAUGGGAGAGGGAAGUGGAAUUCCUGGUGUAGAGGGGAAAUUCGUAGAUAUCAGGAGGAACACCGGUGGCGAAGGCGACUUCCUGGACCAAUACUGACGCUGAGGCGCGAAGGCGUGGGGAGCAAACAGGAUUAGAAACCCUAGUAGUCC